AAAAAAAAAAAACUUUCCUGAAAUUCACUCUGUUCCAGGACAUCUAAUUAAAUAAUCUGAUUCCAAUGAGGAAAUUUACCUUGGGCUGUCACGUUCUGGGAGUAGGCUUUGUGACGAGACCAAUCUCGCCACAUUGCAUUGAAGAAGCCUGGUUGCCUGUUGCCUUUGGAUUAUGGCCCCAUGUUAAAAGGCUUGAUUUUCCCCUGCAAAGACAAGAAAGCCGGGUCAUUUGGUGCUUGCCCUGUUUGAGCAGUGAUACCCCAGAUAGCUAUGCCAUGGAGCUCAUUCGUAUAAUGAAAGACUAUGGGAAAGACUUUGGCUCCAUGGCAAUUGAA